CUCCUACGGGUGGCUGCAGUAAGGAAUAUUGGUCAAUGGACGCAAGUCUGAACCAGCCAUGCCGCGUGGAGGAUGAAGGCCCUCUGGGUUGUAAACUUCUUUUAUCUGGGACGAAAACGGGACUUUCUAGUUCAACUGACGGUACCAGAGGAAUAAGCACCGGCUAACUCCGUGCCAGCAGCCGCGGUAAUACGGAGGGUGCAAGCGUUAUCCGGAUUCACUGGGUUUAAAGGGUGCGUAGGUGGGUUGGUAAGUCAGUGGUGAAAUCUCCGAGCUUAACUUGGAAACUGCCAUUGAUACUAUCAGUCUUGAAUACCGUGGAGGUCAGCGGAAUAUGUCAUGUAGCGGUGAAAUGCUUAGAUAUGACAUAGAACACCAAUUGCGAAGGCAGCUGGCUACACGAAUAUUGACACUGAGGCACGAAAGCGUGGGGAUCAAACAGGAUUAGAUACCCUGGUAGUCCACGCCCUAAACUAUGGAUACUCGACAUACGCGAUACACAGUGUGUGUCUGAGCGAAAGCAUUA
rnacentral:rRNA from 1 species